rnacentral:rRNA from 1 species
CGAACGAUGAACCACUUCGGUGGGGAUUAGUGGCGAACGGGUGAGUAACACGUGGGCAAUCUGCCCUGCACUCUGGGACAAGCCCUGGAAACGGGGUCUAAUACCGGAUACUGACCCUCGCGGGCAUCUGCGAGGUUCGAAAGCUCCGGCGGUGCAGGAUGAGCCCGCGGCCUAUCAGCUUGUUGGUGAGGUAAUGGCUCACCAAGGCGACGACGGGUAGCCGGCCUGAGAGGGCGACCGGCCACACUGGGACUGAGACACGGCCCAGACUCCUACGGGAGGCAGCAGUGGGGAAUAUUGCACAAUGGGCGAAAGCCUGAUGCAGCGACGCCGCGUGAGGGAUGACGGCCUUCGGGUUGUAAACCUCUUUCAGCAGGGAAGAAGCGAAAGUGACGGUACCUGCAGAAGAAGCGCCGGCUAACUACGUGCCAGCAGCCGCGGUAAUACGUAGGGCGCAAGCGUUGUCCGGAAUUAUUGGGCGUAAAGAGCUCGUAGGCGGCUUGUCACGUCGGUUGUGAAAGCCCGGGGCUUAACCCCGGGUCUGCAGUCGAUACGGGCAGGCUAGAGUUCGGUAGGGGAGAUCGGAAUUCCUGGUGUAGCGGUGAAAUGCGCAGAUAUCAGGAGGAACAC